rnacentral:rRNA from 1 species
UCACCUGUUUAUCAAAAACAUGUUUAUUAGAUUUUAAUUUAUAGUCAAAUUUGCUCAAUGAAAAUUUAUUUUAAAUAGCUGCAGAAUUUUAACUGUACAAAGGUAGCAUAAUAAAUAGCUUUUUAAUUUAAAGCUUGAAUGAAAGAUUUAAUGAAAAAAAAACUUUAUUAGUUUAAAAAAUUAAAAUUUUUUUUAGAUAAAAAAAUCUAAUUUUUUUAAAUAAACAAAAAGACCCUAAAAACUUUAUAAAUUAAAACUAAUUUAUUUAAUUGGGGAAAUUAAAAAAUUAAAAUAAUUUUUUUUUUUUAUAACAAAAAUAAAUGAAUAUAAUUAUUUUUAUUAAAAAUUAAUUUAAGUUACUUUAGGGAUAACAGUAUAAUUUUUUAUUUUAGAACAAAUAAGUUAAAAAGUUUAUAACCUCGAUGUUGAAUUAAGAUAAAAAUAAAAUGAAACAAUUUUAAUUUAAG